rnacentral:rRNA from 1 species
UGCCAGCAGCCGCGGUAAUACAGAGGUCCCAAGCGUUGUUCGGAUUCACUGGGCGUAAAGGGUGCGUAGGCGGUCGGCAAAGUCUGAUGUGAAAUCUCCGGGCUCAACCCGGAAACUGCAUCGGAUACUGGUCGGCUAGAGGAUUGGAGGGGGGAGUGGAAUUCUCGGUGUAGCAGUGAAAUGCGUAGAUAUCGAGAGGAACACCAGUGGCGAAGGCGACUCCCUGGACAAUUCCUGACGCUGAGGCACGAAAGCUAGGGGAGCAAACAGGAUUAGAUA